CCUACGGGUGGCAGCAGUGGGGAAUAUUGCACAAUGGGGGAAACCCUGAUGCAGCGACGCCGCGUGAGCGAAGAAGUAUUUCGGUAUGUAAAGCUCUAUCAGCAGGGAAGAAAAUGACGGUACCUGACUAAGAAGCCCCGGCUAACUACGUGCCAGCAGCCGCGGUAAUACGUAGGGGGCAAGCGUUAUCCGGAUUUACUGGGUGUAAAGGGAGCGUAGACGGCUUUGCAAGUCUGAAGUGAAAGCCCAGGGCUCAACCUUGGGACUGCUUUGGAAACUGUAAAGCUUGAGUACCGGAGGGGUAAGCGGAAUUCCUAGUGUAGCGGUGAAAUGCGUAGAUAUUAGGAGGAACACCAGUGGCGAAGGCGGCUUACUGGACGGUAACUGACGUUGAGGCUCGAAAGCGUGGGGAGCAAACAGGAUUAGAUACCCUUGUAGUC
rnacentral:rRNA from 1 species